GGGCUUGCAUUGGCAGUACAUAUUCUAAAAUUGGAAUGAUAUGGAGAAGAUUAGCAUGGCCCCUGUGCAAGGAUGACAUGCACAUUUGUGAAGCAUUCCAUAUUUAA
rnacentral:snRNA from 1 species